ACAUGAUUUUAUUAAAAUGCAUACACAUUCUAAUCAAGUCCGGACUAGUACUGAACUAUUUAAUUAUAUCUAAUAAAUGUUGGAAUUGAAAUGUAUUAUUGUUUUUUAGGAAAAAAUUAAUAAAAAAUGCUCCUGGUGAGGCUCGAACUCACGACCUUCCCCUGUGUCAUAAUAUGAGAGGGAUGCUACCACCGACUGAGCUACAGAAGCUUGUUGAACACCACUAGGAAAUAUGAAUUAAUGUAGCUCUUAAAAUAUGAUUUUAACAACUACUGAAAUUUGAUAUUUGUUGUAACUAUGAAUACCAAAAAUACAUCUUUAAAAGCAAUGUAGUGAAUGGUAUUGAUUAAAUGUGUUUUACUGAUAGAAUGAAUACUUAAAAGAGUCUCAUAUGCGCACUCUCUCAAGCAUUGAUACAAACUCCUCAUGAAUUUAGAUUUUAACCUACGACUAUUUGCACUUCAUACUGCAUCCAAAAUAUUUGCACUGGAUAGAGGUUGUAUGUUGUUAGCCUGGACUGAAGGCAUAUUAUUCAAAUUUCCUCAACUUGGUGAUAUU